rnacentral:rRNA from 1 species
UACGAAGGGGGCUAGCGUUGCUCGGAAUCACUGGGCGUAAAGGGUGCGUAGGCGGGUCUUUAAGUCAGGGGUGAAAUCCUGGAGCUCAACUCCAGAACUGCCUUUGAUACUGAAGAUCUUGAGUUCGGGAGAGGUGAGUGGAACUGCGAGUGUAGAGGUGAAAUUCGUAGAUAUUCGCAAGAACACCAGUGGCGAAGGCGGCUCACUGGCCCGAGACUGACGCUGAGGCACGAAAGCGUGGGGAGCAAACAGG